AUGGUGGAAAUAUGUUGUUUGAAUUCGUUCUUAUUCUUUAUUUCAGCAAUGGUAGUUUGGUUGCCGACGUUGAGAUGACAUUCAAAAGCUCGCUACAACAGAAUGAAUCAAUGUUGCUGCUAGUCACUGAAAGUAUUGAAAAUAUUCCAGGAGUUAUGAAAGACAAAACGACCGCAGAAUGGCAAACGGAGCAAUCGUCAACAGAUACACAAACAACCGCUGAGCAAUCAUCAACCUCCAUUGAACAACCCUCUAGUUCCAGUGAAUCCUUUGGCAGCGGUGAACAACCAACAACCACCUCUGAACAGCCCCCAAUGCCCUCUGAAUUGUCAUCUGCUACCAAUGAAUUCUUCGCUACCAUUAGUGGACAAACAAGCACUGAACAACCAGCCACUACCACUGAAUUACCACUCCCGAUCAAGCAUCAACGUCAAUAGCUGCAGAAACUGUAUAACGGCACACAAGCACUGAACAGAAACUGCAAACGUCCAUGACUACUGAAAGAGAAUUUUUCAAUCAUUGUUAAUCAAUCACAGGAAACGAAACUCUAUGACCAUUGUUAAACAUCGGAUUUAAAAUAAAACCAUCUUACAACCACUGUUGAAAUUUGAAAAGAGCGUUUCAACGUUCGGAGGGUCGCAGAGCACAACAAUAUUUUGAGCAUUACUAUCUGUGAUAAUUUCUUUCGGUAUUCUUCAAACUACAUUAUUCCACCGUUCGUCAAAGACAGAGAGAAAAAAUGUAACGCUCGUAUCAACGGUUGUAUUAAACUGAUUCAGCAGUUAUGUAGGACAUUAUCAAUGGCGGCUGUAUGAAAAUGUAUCAAGGCAGUAAGAAACUGCACGAAAUGUUCUACCAAACUAUCGUAUACAAAAACAAACCAGUAAAAAUACUCAACAACACCACCAACAACAAAAAACAAAUAAAUAUUUAGAAAAAACAAUAAACUCGGCUCAUCAAUAAAGAAAUAAUGGCAUUCGUCAGAAAGGCAUCGAAUUGUUUCGAUUACCUCCCAACUAGAUAUAGAUUUUUCUUGCCAUUUGUUCAGUUGUAAUACUGUAAUAUUGCUAUGGUGAUCGGCGGUGAUUGUGAUGGGAAACGAAAUCAAAAGCUCUAAAGACAGUAAUUAAGCUUUCAAUGUAGUGUUAUCGUUAUUAACGUAUAAACCAUCUAAAUAUUCCAUUGUAUUACUUAAGCUGAAUAAGCUGUCAAUUCCUCAAAUAA